rnacentral:rRNA from 1 species
UACGUAGGGCGCAAGCGUUGUCCGGAAUUAUUGGGCGUAAAGAGCUCGUAGGCGGCUUGUUGCGUCGGUUGUGAAAGCCCGGGGCUUAACCCCGGGUCUGCAGUCGAUACGGGCAGGCUAGAGUGUGGUAGGGGAGAUCGGAAUUCCUGGUGUAGCGGUGAAAUGCGCAGAUAUCAGGAGGAACACCAGUGGCGAAGGCGGAUCUAUGGGCCAUUACUGACGCUGAGGAGCGAAAGCGUGGGGAGCGAACAGG